rnacentral:lncRNA from 1 species
ACUUCUAACAAAAUUAAUCUUCAGGUAUCUUGGAGGUGGGAGCUCUCAAACUAUGAAUACCCGUCAGAUUGCUACGUGAGCAGGAUGCACGUCCAAGGUCUCCAAAGGCCUAGAGAUCACAUCCAGGAUCUCUCAUGCCAAGAUCAAGGCUCUCUCGAGAAUGAACCUUACCGAGUAUCUCCUGGACUCAAAGACAACACUGUUCCUAACCAACCAGAUAUGCUAGAUAAUAUAGG